UACGUAGGGACCAAGCGUUGUUCGGAUUUACUGGGCGUAAAGGGCGCGUAGGCGGCCACGCACGUCCGUUGUGAAAUCGCUCGGCUCAACUGGGCGGGGUCAGCGGAUACGGCGUGGCUGGAGCAAGCUAGGGGGCAAUGGAAUUCCCGGUGUAGUGGUGGAAUGCGUAGAUAUCGGGAGGAACACCAGUGGCGAAGGCGGUUGCCUGGAGCUUUGCUGACGCUGAUGCGCGAAAGCGUGGGGAGCGAGUCCGG
rnacentral:rRNA from 1 species